rnacentral:rRNA from 1 species
UACGUAGGGGGCUAGCGUUGUCCGGAAUCAUUGGGCGUAAAGAGCGUGUAGGCGGUCCGGUAAGUCCGCUGUGAAAGUCGGGGGCUCAACCCUCGAAUGCCGGUGGAUACUGUCGGGCUAGAGUGCGGAAGAGGCGAGUGGAAUUCCUGGUGUAGCGGUGAAAUGCGCAGAUAUCGGGAGGAACACCAGCGGCGAAGGCGGCACUCUGGGCUGGUACUGACGCUGAGGAGCGAAAGCGUGGGUAGCAAACAGG